rnacentral:rRNA from 1 species
GUAUGCGGACUGCAGCAGACACCCGCGAACUUGUAUAGCAACCACCGGGGUCCUUGUGCCCUCGCCAGGUGCGCUCUUGAAUUGCGUUGCCUCGGCUAACAACUUAACCCCGACGCGAAUUGCGUCAAGGAACUUUGACAAGAAGAGCGCCCCCUACUCUCGUUCGCGAGUGUGAAGUUGCGGGGGUGGCUGCAUCUUUUUAUGAACAUAACGACUCUCGGCAACGGAUAUCUCGGCUCUCGCAUCGAUGAAGAACGUAGCGAAAUGCGAUACUUGGUGUGAAUUGCAGAAUCCCGUGAACCAUCGAGACUUUGAACGCAAGUUGCGCCCGAAGUCAUUAGGCCGAGGGCACGUCUGCCUGGGUGUCUCGCAUCACGUCGCCCCCCACCUUGUGCCCGUAACGGGCUCUUGGGGUUGGUGGGGGGCGGAUUUUGGCCCCCCGUGUCCCGUAGUGCAUGGUCGGCCUAAAUUUGGAGUCCUUGGGCGUCAAACGUCACGACCGAGUGGUGGUGGACGUGAAUACCCAUUGCCGCAUGUCGGGGCCGUCUUGAACACAGGGAUGUUUUGUCUUCGAACCGUAAGCACCGUUUCACCGGACCUUGUCGCACCCCAGGUAAGCGGGAUUACCCGGUUAGUUUAGCAUCC